UACGUAGGGUGCAAGCGUUGUCCGGAAUUAUUGGGCGUAAAGAGCUCGUAGGUGGCCUGUCGCGUCGGCUGUGAAAACUCGGGGCUCAACUCCGAGCUUGCAGUCGAUACGGGCAGGCUAGAGUUCGGCAGGGGAGACUGGAAUUCCUGGUGUAGCGGUGAAAUGCGCAGAUAUCAGGAGGAACACCGGUGGCGAAGGCGGGUCUCUGGGGACCACCUGACGCUGAGGCGCGAAAGCGUGGGGAGCGAACCGG
rnacentral:rRNA from 1 species